rnacentral:rRNA from 1 species
UACGUAGGGGGCGAGCGUUGUCCGGAUUUAUUGGGCGUAAAGAGCGUGUAGGCGGCCUUACAGGUCAGCUGUGAAAACUCGAGGCUCAACCUCGAGACGUCGGUUGAAACCGUAAGGCUAGAGUCCGGAAGAGGAGAGUGGAAUUCCCGGUGUAGCGGUGAAAUGCGCAGAUAUCGGGAAGAACACCCGUGGCGAAGGCGGCUCUCUGGGACGGUACUGACGCUGAGACGCGAAAGCGUGGGGAGCGAACAGG